GCACCCGUAGCUCAACCGGAUAGAGCAACUGCCUUCUAAGCAGUAGGUUAUAGGUUCGAGUCCUAUCGGGUGUA
rnacentral:tRNA from 1 species